GCCAUCGCCGCCGACCGACCUCGCUCCGCUCCCGGCUCCGCAGAACCCUCCCGAACCCCGGCAGGGCAGCUCGGAGCGCUCCGGGCAGCGAAGGGCAGAGCUGCUGCUCCCGCCGAGGUUUCAGCAAACCAAAAACCCAUCCUGUCACCAUCCAGGGACAGUCAGCGGAGGCAUGGCAGAGCCAACAGGGCAGGAUUUACAGAGCCUUCCACCCAGGGAGAGGAAACGGAGCCUGAUUCAGCCGGGAAGAAUGCACAGGAGAUACCUGCGGUGGAAAAGUAUCCAACACCCAGAUACUUAAUGAGGGAGACACCUGAGAUGUGGUGAUGCAAAAGGAGAGCAGGGCAGAUGCUCGGCAGAGCGUCACAGAGCAAAAAACCUGCUGCAAAAUUACCUUGGUAUUCCAGGAUUGGGCUUUUCCUUCACUUUUCUGGGAAAAAGCAGUGCAAAAAAAACAGGUUUUGAAUAUACUUGCUGUUUGCAA